GGCAGAUAUGUAAAAGAAUUAAUAAAUACCUGCUAUCACAUUCAGAUCCUGCUCCGCCUCAUGCUGAUUCAGUGGGAAAACUCGGGCCUUUCCUUUCUUGUUUUGGUCUUGAUCAUCAUCCUUCUUCUUUGGAGGCUCUGGACAGUUGAGAACGAUGUGUCCGGUUCUACCACACCUAAAGCACAUGUUCUUCCCGAACCAGCAUUCACCCUUGUGGAGUUUAUUACACUUAGGACAGGGGAUAAUACUUCCACUCGUCCCACCAAUGCGAAUUCCUGUGCUUGGCCUUUUAUUCUGCAAAUUGUGUAUGUUCUUGCUUUGAUCACUCCACUUCCUUUUCCCCAACGACUCCUUGCUCUACUCGACAUACUAUUCAAAUGAGGUCCUCUGAUAUGAAAUAGCAUGAGCCCUCUCCAACAUUUCACGAUAUGUGGUGAAACGAUGGGAAAUAAUGAUCAUGCCGAUUCAGGGCACAGUCCAUUCUCGAACCUCCUAAUCUUCUUAACUUUUGUAUCCAGCAAGUGCGGGGCAUACCUUGAGAGCUUCUUAAACUGUCUUUCAUAAUCAAUAAGUGACAUGUUUCCCUGUCUGAGCUGCAGAAAUUCUGAUUCCUUGAAGUCCCUCAAAGCCCGUGGGAAAUAUUUUGCCAUCACUUCGUCUUUAAACUGCUCCCAAGUCAGAUUACGUUGCUUCUCUUCCGUCCUUGUACGUGAAACAGAUUCCCACCAAUGACCAGCUACUCCAAUCAACUUAAAUUCUGCGCAUAAUACUUUCUGUGCAUCCGUACAAGCAAUGUGUCGAAAUAUGCGCUCCAGGCCUCUUAUCCACUCUUCGACAACCAGUGGUUCAGAAUUACCGUCGAAAGUGGAAGGCUUGUACCUAUGAAACUGCUCAACCACUGAAACAGCUCCAAGAGCAAAAUGCGGUGCAUUCUGCUGUGGCGGUGCAUUUUGUGGUGGAGGUGCUUGAUUUUGCCUGCUCAACUCUUGUACCACUCAUAGUAAAUCGCGCAUCAAAUUCUUAUGAGUAGGUGGUGCCAUUUCCUAAAAUUUAAUAUUAAGUUACGAUCACAUUUUAGCACUAAGUCUAUCAUGCUACACUUAUUUUUUUAUCGUAAU
rnacentral:lncRNA from 1 species